rnacentral:rRNA from 1 species
UACAGAGGUCUCAAGCGUUGUUCGGAUUCAUUGGGCGUAAAGGGUGCGUAGGUGGCCUGGUAAGUCGGAUGUGAAAUCCCGGGGCUCAACCCCGGAACUGCAUUCGUUACUGCUGCGCUAGAGUACUGGAGAGGAGAUUGGAAUUUACGGUGUAGCAGUGAAAUGCGUAGAUAUCGUAAGGAAGACCAGUGGCGAAGGCGGAUCUCUGGACAGUUACUGACACUGAGGCACGAAGGCCAGGGGAGCAAACGGG